UACGUAGGUGGCAAGCGUUAUCCGGAUUUACUGGGUGUAAAGGGCGUGUAGGCGGGAAAGCAAGUCAGGUGUGAAAACCAUGGGCUCAACCUGUGGCCUGCAUUUGAAACUGUUUUUCUUGAGUACUGGAGAGGCAGACGGAAUUCCUAGUGUAGCGGUAAAAUGCGUAGAUAUUAGGAGGAACACCAGUGGCGAAGGCGGUCUGCUGGACAGCAACUGACGCUGAGGCGCGAAAGCGUGGGGAGCAAACAGG
rnacentral:rRNA from 1 species